UUCAACACGGACACAAGGAGGAAUCGCUGCUCACCCGAGCAAACCAGAAAAGACCUCUUUCUUGCAAGAUCCACGAUUUAGCGCGAUUUCUUUCUUACCCUUGGCCAAGGUAGACUCCAGAGUCACACGAUCUUUAACUCAAUCGAGUUACAACCGGUUUUAUUCGUAUUAGACGUGAAGUCACGACUGCCGCCCAAGCAGUUUUAAUUCAAAGUUAUAGGAAAGCGGCUGGACCCUUUCUUUUUCUUAACUGAAGUGCUGUGCACAUUGUUUGACCAGAGUUUUUCUUCCCACGAGCCACGAAGCACCGGACCAAGAAUUUUCUGCUUUCCACAGACGUGCUCCACGAGCUCCUGUGAAACUCAGCCUCUCCGAGUAAUUCCCUGUGCUUCAUGGAGAUCUCCACAACGGUGUAAACUCCAAAAGUCUCGGGACAUCUUCUCAUAAUCUCGCGAAGAAGUGAAAUAUGGAAAAUUCUAAAGGUGCAUACGAGUUAUGUAAUAUGCAUGGGAAACAACUGAUCAAGAAGAAAGGGGAGAAUGAGCAUGGGAGCCACACAGGUGUGAAGGACAAAGAUGGAGGGAGGCCGAGCAGCAAAGGGCAGCAGGCCACACUUGAACCCAGGAGAAAGCAGAGAACACCAAGAUCAACAGCAGCUCUACAUUCUGUCUGAAUUAAAGAAGAGAGACAGGGCGAUCAUCAAUGAAUUGUUGUCCAACACUUUUGCUCAUAGAAGACAGGAUGUCAUCAGUCUUCAAAUGAGCAUCAAAGAGAUCAAGGAAAGGUCAAUGCUGAGUUUCAAUGAAUUACCACUGUAAAUCUUGAGGCCAAAUUCAUGUUCAUGUUGGACUACUACACCCCUAAACUGCUUGCCAUCUUCCAAGCCAAGAAAGGUGCUGCUGGAGAGAGACAUCAUGCAGAAAUGAAUGUUCUA